AAAAAAAAAAAAAAAACAGUGAGAUCUGAAGGAGAGAUAGUGAAGAACUCUCACUAGAGAUCACAAGUAGGCAUGGAGGCAGGCAGAGAGGAGGAUGCAGGCUCCCCGCUGAGCAGAGAGCCCUAUGCAGGGCUCUAUUCCAGGACCUGGGAUCAUGACCUGACCUGAAGGCAGAGGCUUAACCUACUGAGCCACCCAGGUGCUGGGCUCCACCCAAAAUGCCUGUUGUACUAACCUCCUCACAAUAAAAUCUAAACCCUCUGUUGAAAGUCCAGUUCACAUGUCAAGUUCUCAAACAUUUCCGCACACCCUCCCCCAUCCAUCAUAGUGGCCAUGUGAACUACAGAAGCUAUAGGAGCUGCUCUACAUACAGGAUUUGGUCCCAUUCUCCCAGAAAUCCUGCAAGGUCAGAACUGUAAGUAAACAACCUCCACCCCUCACCUCAGGCUCCAUCCCACCGAAGAGUAAAUGGAUCAAUGAAUGUGCCCAGUGUUCCAGGUAAAUGGAGCAACAGGAAUCUGAAGGUGGGUGUCUUCAACUCGAAAAUCUUUGUACCGCCUCAAGCUGCACAUCUGGUUUAAAGCACAGUGACAUGCAUGGCUGGCUGAUGACGCCACCUGCAUCUGUGCUUUCCUUGUGGCACUAAGCAUCAUUAUCUGCCUUCAUGCCUUACCGCUGACACACAGCUCAGUCUCUCUGCUUUCAACUCAGGUGGCUCCAACUGACAGCUUUCCAAACCUCACGUAGUAAAGGAAGCACCAUGUGCUCUGCAGAGGAGACAGGUGUCACCAGACUGAGCAGAAAGCCACAGGCAGGAAGGAACCUGCUCUCUGGCAGUGGCAGAGGCUGGAGCCUCCUACUAACUGGAAGCAGCUUCUCAACACCAUGAAGCUGAGCCGUCCCUUAGGUGACCAGAGCUGCGAAGUUAAGACCAGAUGCUGCUGUGUCAGGAUCUCGAAGUUUCUUAUACACAAAAUACCCCAGUAGUCAGCAACAAAUUUAUUACACUGAGGAGUCAGUACAAGGUAUUCACACAAAACAAAGAACUGUGUUCAAGUCCAACCAAACUCCAUAUACACAGAUGGACUGACAAUAAGGGUAUCUUACUGUUUUAUAGGAAAACGGACAGUGCAACAAGCCGCUCUGAGACGGUGGGAAGGAGAAGAGGUCACCUUCCAUAAAUGUGCUCACAACAGACAACCCCACACUUGUUCUUUACUUUAAAACCUCUUGACUGUAAUUUUGGCUCUUCCUCUAUUUUAUUUCUUAAAGAUUUUUAGUUAUUUGAGAGAAGGUGCGUGUGUGUGCGCACGCACAAGCAGAAGGCAGGGCAGAGAGCCAGGAAGAGAGGGAAUCUCUAGCAGACUCCCUGCUGAGUGGUGAGCCUGACAGGGAGCUCAAUCCCAUGACCCUGAAAUUAAGAGUCAGGUGCUCAACCAACUGAGCCACCCAGGUGCCACCCCCCUCCCCGGACAAGACAAAUGAUCCAGUUCCUUCAAGUGAAAUGCAAGGAGUGAAAAGACAGAGGAAUCUUAGAUGAAAGGAGAUUUAAGAGGCAGAUCGUUUAAAUGCAAUAUGUGGAUUAUAAGGAGUAUGAGGUUAUGUCAGACAAGAAGGAAAAUGUAAACAGUCUGGAUUUGGUUAUACUAAGGAAGUAAUAUCAAUAUUUUUUGGUACAGUAGUGGUAUUGUAGUUAUUUUAUUAUUUAAUUUUUUAAUAAAGGCCUUCUGGAAAAAAAUUUUUUUUUCCUGGAAAAAUACAUCAAAAUCAUGACGGCAGGGGAGAGAAAAGUGAAUAGGAGCAUAUAUAGGACAUAAGACUGGCUGUGGCUGGUAACGUUGUAUGAUGGGUAACUGGGGGUUCCUUAUACUAGCCUUUCUCCUUUUACUGACGUUUGAAGUUUUCCACAGUGAACAUAUUUAUUUUGGAAGCCUGACUGAAGUGGUCCAGUGUCUUCACAUACCAGCUAGACAUCGGUAUCUUUCCAGCCCAGAACCCCUCACUGACCUCCCCUGUGAAAUACUUACAUGGUCUACACAGUGCUGUCUCCCUCCUUCCUCUCCACCCCACCCAAGUGUGCCUGUCUUUCCCACCACCCUUCCACCGGAAAGGCUUCCCAGACUUCAAAUAUUUGGUUGGGUCAACUGGCUAUGUGCUCCUCACCAUACCAACUCUA